AUUGAACGCUGGCGGCAUGCCUUACACAUGCAAGUCGAACGGCAGCACGGGAGCAAUCCUGGUGGCGAGUGGCGAACGGGUGAGUAAUGUAUCGGAACGUGCCCAGUCGUGGGGGAUAACGUAGCGAAAGCUACGCUAAUACCGCAUACGAUCUAUGGAUGAAAGUGGGGGAUCGCAAGACCUCGCGCGAUUGGAGCGGCCGAUAUCAGAUUAGGUAGUUGGUGGGGUAAAGGCUCACCAAGCCGACGAUCUGUAGCUGGUCUGAGAGGACGACCAGCCACACUGGGACUGAUACACGGCCCAGACUCCUACGGGAGGCAGCAGUGGGGAAUUUUGGACAAUGGGCGCAAGCCUGAUCCAGCAAUGCCGCGUGCAGGAUGAAGGCCUUCGGGUUGUAAACUGCUUUUGUACGGAACGAAACGGCGAGCUCUAAUACAGUUUGCUAAUGACGGUACCGUAAGAAUAAGCACCGGCUAACUACGUGCCAGCCGCCGCCGUAA
rnacentral:rRNA from 1 species